CUGCUCUAAAACGUCCGGUGUGUUCCGGCCCAAGUGCCUGCUCAGGUUUAAAGGGGGUUUCUUUUGCUAGUACUUAAAAAAGUUAAAAAUAAUCACUACUAUUAAAUAGAUCUUUAGUGUGUUUUAAAUGGCAAAAGCACUUCACUCAGAAUUGGUGAUUCUGUUUCAUGCGUGUGUUAAGUGGGGAUAGGUUUGUGGCAAGAGUUGGAUGCUGUUAUCUUGCUGAAUGGAGAAAGUAUAAUUUACUACAUGAUCAUGCUGUGGAGCAUUUCACUGAGUUUCUUCUGGGUGCCUGGAUUUUGUGACCGUUUGGUGGCCUUUAAGAAGAGACUUUAUGUUUUAUUUCAACAGGGUUAACAUAAACAUAGUGUUUUAAGCUUAAAAUGAUGGAAAACCCCUACGUAGAUCUUCCAACGUGGACAUUCCAACAGGAAGCUAUAAAGAGAAGUAAAAGUGACAGCACAUUAUCAGUGAAAAAUAAGACUAGGUUUAAAAAGAAUUACAGACGCUCUUCCAGGUGGCAGACCCGAGUCAGCCAGGAACUGUCAACCUGGAGAUGAAGUGCCUCGCUGGGUGGCCUGCGCAUCAUGUGUGAUG
rnacentral:lncRNA from 1 species